GCUCUGUAUAGUUCUCUUCAUAAAGCUCUGGUGCCAUGUACUCCGGAGUCCCUAGUAGUGUAUGCGCCGCGUGGUUCUUUGCAACAAUGGCUGCCAUGCCUAAAUCCCCAAUCUUCACCUGAAAUGUAUGUAUAUCAUUUGAGGUCUCUGUGGAUGACGCAGGGAUCAUGGGUGUGGAGAUAAUCCAAGCCUUGAAGUAUCUGUCUGGACCACUUCUUCAUCGCCUUGACGGAGACAUGCCGGUGCUUCUUCCGGUAAUCCCUCAGGUUCCCGGAGGCGCAGGCCUCCGUUAUGAAAUUCAGGAUGUUGUGCUCCUCGUCCUUCCAGAAAUGAUACAUGACGAUGAUGUUCUCGUUCUUCAACCUCUCUAGCAGCUCAAUCUCCGAGUGGAUCUUGCUAAUGAUACACGGAUUGUCCAUGAACUUGCUCAGCUUAAUCUGGUUCCACGCCACGUCUCGCCCUUCCUCCAAAUCGAACGCUCUGUGCACCUUCUUCACCGACCCGUGCCCCAGGAGCUCGUCGUACCGCCCAAACCGCCCCGACGGGUCAACCUCCGCAAACGCCUCGCCAUCUUCCUCAGGACUGGAAAAUGGCAUUAUUAUAUUAUAUUAACACUCUACCUGUCUGGCAGAGGGUCAAAUAUAAGAAAAUAAAGUUGUACGUGUUAGGUGUUAGCUGACAGAUGUUAGGAAAACUGUUGGGCGGAGAUCAGACCGGUGAAUUUUAACACCCUAUCCUAAAGCGUCUGAUCCUAACAGUAUUACUCAGUAUGGAGAUGUAGUGUGAAUUUUGGGGUGUAUUGGAGCAUAUUUAUAGUGUUCAAACUUCAAACCUGAUCACUACUUUUCCAUGGGUGAAAGCAAAAGAAACCCAGAUUUUUAAUUAAAAUAGUGAACCGACGUUGAGAUAAA